UACGGAGGGGGUUAGCGUUAUCCGGAUUUAUUGGGCGUAAAGCGCGCGCAGGCGGUCAUAAAAGUCUGGUGUGAAAACCUAGGGCUCAACCCUGGGACUGCAUUGGAAACUCUAUGACUUGAGAGCAGAAGAGGAGAGUGGAAUUCCUAGUGUAGCGGUGAAAUGCGUAGAUAUUAGGAGGAACACCAGUGGCGAAGGCGACUCUCUGGUCUGCAACUGACGCUGAGGCGCGAAAGCGUGGGGAGCAAACAGG
rnacentral:rRNA from 1 species